GGAUAACAUACCGAAAGGUAUGCUAAUACGGGAUAAUAUAUUUGAGAGGCACCUCUUGAAUAUCAAAGGUGAGCCAGUACAGGAUGGACCCGCGUCUGAUUAGCUAGUUGGUAAGGUAACGGCUUACCAAGGCGACGAUCAGUAGCCGACCUGAGAGGGUGAUCGGCCACAUUGGAACUGAGACACGGUCCAAACUCCUACGGGAGGCAGCAGUGGGGAAUAUUGUACAAUGGGCGAAAGCCUGAUGCAGCAACGCCGCGUGAGUGAUGAAGGCCUUCGGGUCGUAAAACUCUGUCCUCAAGGAAGAUAAUGACGGUACUUGAGGAGGAAGCCCCGGCUAACUACGUGCCAGCAGCCGCGGUAAUACGUAGGGGGCUAGCGUUAUCCGGAUUUACUGGGCGUAAAGGGUGCGUAGGCGGUCUUUCAAGUCAGGAGUGAAAGGCUACGGCUCAACCGUAGUAAGCUCUUGAAACUGGGAGACUUGAGUGCAGGAGAGGAGAGUGGAAUUCCUAGUGUAGCGGUGAAAUGCGUAGAUAUUAGGAGGAACACCAGUUGCGAAGGCGGCUCUCUGGACUGUAACUGACGCUGAGGCACGAAAGCGUGGGGAGCAAACAGGAUUAGAUACCCUGGUAGUCCACGCUGUAAACGAUGAGUACUAGGUGUCGGGGGUUACCCCCUUCGGUGCCGCAG
rnacentral:rRNA from 1 species